AACGAACGCUGGCGGCAUGCCUAAUACAUGCAAGUCGAACGAGAAAGCUCCUUCGGGAGUGAGUAGAGUGGCGCACGGGUGAGUAACACGUAGGUGACAUACCUUUCAGCUGGGGACAACAGAAAGAAAUUUCUGCUAAUACCGAAUAAGCUGAGCGAAUUUGAAAGUAGCUCAGGAAAGACGGCCUCUAUACUAUGCUAUCACUGAAAGAAUGGCCUGCGUUCCAUUAGCUUGUUGGUGAGGUAACGGCUUACCAAGGCGACGAUGGAUAGCUGGUCUGAGAGGAUGAUCAGUCACACUGGAACUGAGACACGGUCCAGACUCCUACGGGAGGCAGCAGUAAGGAAUAUUGCGCAAUGGGGGAAACCCUGACGCAGCAAUGCCGCGUGAGUGAGGAAGGCCUUCGGGUUGUAAAGCUCUUUCAGUAAGGAAGAACGGUCUAGUGGUUAAUACCCGCUAGAUUUGACGGUACUUACAGAAGAAGCACCGGCUAACUUCGUGCCAGCAGCCGCGGUAAUACGAAGGGUGCAAGCGUUGUUCGGAUUUAUUGGGCGUAAAGCGCGUGUAGGCGGAAGAUUAAGUCAGAUGUGAAAUCUCUCGGCUCAACCGAGAAAUUGCGUCUGAAACUGGUUUUCUAGAAUCCUGGAGAGGGAAGGGGAAUUUCAUGUGUAGGGGUAAAAUCCGUAGAGAUAUGAAGGAACACCAGAGGCGAAGGCGCCUUCCUGGACAGGUAUUGACGCUGAGACGCGAAGGCGUGGGGAGCAAACAGGAUUAGAUACCCUGGUAGUCCACGCGGUAAACGAUGAGCACUAGUUUUGGCGGGUAUUGACCCCUGCCGAAACGUAGCUAACGCAUUAAGUGCUCCGCCUGGGGAGUACGGUCGCAAGAUUAAAACUCAAAGGAAUUGACGG
rnacentral:rRNA from 1 species